UGGCUGUUUGCAGCCGGCUGGGCAGAGCAGAGCAGGGCUUAUAAAAGCCCAAAUUAGCAUCCUCUCCCUGGCAGCUCUGCCAGCAGCCCCUCCUGCUGCAGCCCAGCCAGGUUGUGGGCACACUGGGCUCUGCGCUCGUGGUGAAGGUCAGAGAGGGGCUGUGGUGGCCCCCGGGGUGAAGGCGUCCUGUGGGGAUGCGGGGUGCAGCAGCACGGAGCCCCCGCUGCCGGCAGAGACCUGGCUUGUGCCAUUAACUCUAAGCUUGAUGUGUUUGGGCUGCCGGUGGUGACUGAUAGACACUUUUUGGGGGGAUUUGUCAUUAUCUGUGAAGAUUAAAACCUGACAGGCUCAAAUGAUACUAGAAGCUAAGGGUCUUAAGGUUUACUUGGAUGGAGUCCGUUUUGUGCGUGGCAAAUGGUAAAGUAUUUCUUCUUGGCACUGUGGUUUUAUUGAUCUCUGCGUAAUAUACAGGGCUUUGUGCAUUUAAUUCCAUCAAGUGAAGAAGAUGGAUUGGCAUGUGGUCACCUUUAGGCUAGCAACACGUUGCUUUAUCCAAAUAAGCAUCAGCUGUGUCGCUGCCUUGCCUGGGUGUUCGCUAACUGCCCUGCCUAUCACCGGCAGGCAAGGGGCCCUGAAAGCAAUGCAGGGACAGCACAAAUAUUUGUUUCAGAGCAGCAGUGAUUUUUCCCUACUGCAAUUAGAUAUAGAAAGAGGGACGUGCAGCUCUUAUUCACAGCAUAUUACUAAUGAGAACUGGCAACUGGGAAGGCACCUUCAGCAUGGGGCUGGAUGUACUGGGUCUUGGAGCAGCGCCACGGGUGCUUGCCCCUCAGUGGGAUGCUCCCCUGCAGGUGAGGGCACAGUGUGCAGGGAAAUCUGCUGCGGCUCCUGCUGCUCACCCUUGGCACAGAUGCUCCAGCCCAUGUCCUCAGCCUCCUGUGCACAGCAGCACCCUUGCUCUUCUCCUUGCUCCUUCUCCAAGGUUGUGGCUUCCUCUGGGAUGAGCACAGCAAACCCUCGGUCUCCCCAUCUCCACGCCCGCUCUGCGCAAUCCCUUUGUGCCCCCAAUUUUGCCCUUCAGCAGUUGUUGGCAGCCCGGUACUGACUUGCAGUGGUGCGUGAAGAGCAGCGGGAGGCUGGGAGCAGCAGUGGCCUGCAGGAGAGCUGUCACCACGCUGGCAGUCGGGGAAAGGAAAGGGAGAAGGAUCAGCGCCUGGCUGCCUCCACGUGUGUGCCCUUGUAGGAAAGGAGCGGGCAGCAGGGGGACACGGCCAUAGCCAAGCCCUGUAAGUCCCCAGGGUCUGCGAGCGGCAGCGUCACCUGCACUUCUCCGUCCUUGCAGAAGAACUCUGGAAUCUUUCUGUGCUCCCUCCGUUCGCAAGCAAACCGCCCGCAGCCGCAGGAAGAUCCGCUGGGAAGGCAGCUUGUCAGCGCUCCAGCUGCGAGAGGCUGGGGCUGAUAAUCCGCCAGCCUCCAAACAUGUUUACAGCCGUGAUUCCCAAGAGUGAAAUUGGAAGGGCUUAAAUUGUGGAAAUGGCUUGUUUGGUGAAGUUACAGCCCUAAAUUGAAGCCAUCUGUGAUGCCGUGCAGUUUCUGCCAUCCAGUACAUUCCCAAGCUGUCCGCUGUGCUAAAUCAUCUCCCCAUGCAGACGUGCUCGUGUCACUGCUUUCCCUGUCCAUAGCUGGUGUUAAACAGGGAAAGGGCAGCGUGGCAGCGGGGAAGGUCACUUUGGGAAAACACGAGAUGGCUCAGUGGCGGCACCCAGACGGUUCCUGAUGCUGCCCCAAAGCCAUUGUCUGAGUGGAGGAAUGCAAGGAGAAACCGAGACAGCUCUCAGCGUGCACAGCUCCCUAAAAAGGGUUGGAAAUGUUGAAAACCCACAGCCUGCCCUGUUUCCAUGGCAACAGGAGGAUGCAUCCAAAAGGACAAAGUUUGAAACACUCCCACAGAUGAGCUGGGAUUUUGUUUUUGUAACUCAAUUAUAUAUUAUUAUAUCUUGUGGCUAUGAUUUUAAUAGAUUUCUAAACUUCUUACAAGCAUUUUGCAGGUUUAUUUUUACCUCUCUCUAGUGCAAAAAACAAAUUAGAGGAAGUCAAAAUAAAAAAAAAAGCAAAAAGUUGGGAGUCAAAUGUCAGUACAACUUUGAUCUCCUCCUCACGCAGCUCCGGUUGUAUCUGUUUAGAAGCACCAGAUUUGCAUAUUCAUGUCCCUUAAUUUGCUCUUUGGAUGCGGAAAUCUAAUAAUUAGUGAAGAAAAUGUUCCUAUGUGAAGGGAAACCCUGGUUAUGCAACAGAUGCAUUAAGAAAAAUAAUCAGACAUAAGUGUCCAUCCCUGAGAAAAGGCUGUCUGUAAUUAAAAGCUUAUCAAAGACAAAAAACUCCUGUGCAUAUCUGGGGUCCUCACGGAGGGGGUGGCAGGGUCGGUGCCCCCGGUGUCUGCCCCCUUCCCAGGGCCGGGAGCGGCCGUGGGGCAGGUGAUGGACGGCUGGAUGUGCAGCCGCUGUGAACAGCUAAGCUGUCAAGUGAUAAAUCCCUUAUGUUCACCCUUAAUUAAAUUUCUUUUAGAAGCACAAUAGCUCGCUUUUAUGUCUGCCAUUUAUCAACAAUUAAAGUCAUCGGCAUUGCUGUUGGCAGCGCGAUCGAUGGUGAGGCAGCAGCGAGGCUCACGGUGCAGCUGUGGCAGGGGCGAGCGGCCGGCACCCCCAUCCCCCUGUCCCUCACCCCCAGGGACCUGUGUGUGUGCCAGCACCCUGUGCUCAGCCACCGCCAGAAAUGGUGGAGCUGCAGCGGGGGAUCCCGAGCUGCAGUGUGAUGGCCCGGGAUUGCUGCCCGACCCCUUGCUGUAGCCCGGGGGAGCGCUCUGCUUGGGGAGCCCCCGGCUGCAGCUCAGCGGCGUUGACCCUCUCGCUUCUUGGCUUGCAGCGGAGUUUGCAACUCUGAAAAGUAUAAGUGAGAGUGUGCUCAACUUGAAAACACGUGGCUGUUUUUCCCUUUCAGUGUCUGGGGUGUUCUUCCUAUUUGGUGUGUCAAGAGCUGUAAUUACGUAUAUUGCUGUC